UCCAUUGAAAAUCUAAGGAGACUAAAAGUCUUAAAUGUGGCAUACACAAAGAUACACACAAUACCCUAUGCUCUCGGAGGGGUAAAGACACUUGAAGAGCUCGAUGCCUCGUUUUGUCGGCAUCUCAUGGAUGAAAUACCGUGGGAAAUGUGGAACUUGACCUAUAUGAGGGUAUUGGAUUUAGAAUGGAGCCCAAUCUCUACAUUGCCAGGAAAGAUCAGUGCUUUCUCUAGUCUCCAAACACUUAAAAUUGCAAGCCACCGGCUUUCCCCAUUGCCAGAGCUUCCCUCAAGUUUGAAAUGUCUAGUGAUUGCAGAUGCCGAAUUCCCUGCUCUUCCCGAUCUAUCGCACUUGAAGAGGCUACUAAAAUUACAGCUCAGCGACUUCCCCAAUCUGGCGGAGAUUCCAGGUUUGGGGGAACUAGAAUCACUGGAGUCUUUGCACAUUACCAUGUGUGAUGUGAUCAAACAAUUGCCUAACUUAUCGAAGUUGAAAAAUCUACAGCAUCUCGAGCUAUGCCGUUGUAGGAAGUUGAGAGCCGUCGAAGGCUUGAAAGAACUGAAUAAUUUGGUAUAUGUGAAGAUAGAAAAUUGCAGGUCAAUGGAAAGGUUGCCCGAUGUGUCGACAUUACCAAGUUGGAGUUGGGUUUGGCAGAAGCUUUAAAACAAACCGUUCUCUCUACCGUGCAACUGAUUGAAGAAUAUCAUGACUGGUAUCAAACUGGUGCAGUAGAAAGAGCUGGCGGUUGAGAAGAGAGUUGGCGGCGAGUUACUCAAGAGUAUUGAGGACCUGGUCAUGGGAUAAUGCCAAACCUGCGGGCCCUGCACGUGGGAUAAAAGCCAAACUGGCGACACACAUUCACCACCGACAUGAACUAAUCCGAGUGUCUCUCAUGUCACUUCUUGAGCCAUCUAUUGUAUUUCUUGAUGGUGUUUUGAUUUAUAGGGUGCCAAAGUACGAGAAUGCAUCGUAUCUCUAAUUUACUCCCAUUAAUAUUCAGUGAUUAUUCCACGCA